rnacentral:rRNA from 1 species
CUGGCGGCAGGCCUAACACAUGCAAGUCGAGCGGUAGCACAGAGAGCUUGCUCUCGGGUGACGAGCGGCGGACGGGUGAGUAAUGUCUGGGAAACUGCCUGAUGGAGGGGGAUAACUACUGGAAACGGUAGCUAAUACCGCAUAAUGUCGCAAGACCAAAGUGGGGGACCUUCGGGCCUCAUGCCAUCAGAUGUGCCCAGAUGGGAUUAGCUAGUAGGUGGGGUAAUGGCUCACCUAGGCGACGAUCCCUAGCUGGUCUGAGAGGAUGACCAGCCACACUGGAACUGAGACACGGUCCAGACUCCUACGGGAGGCAGCAGUGGGGAAUAUUGCACAAUGGGCGCAAGCCUGAUGCAGCCAUGCCGCGUGUGUGAAGAAGGCCUUCGGGUUGUAAAGCACUUUCAGCGGGGAGGAAGGCGUUAAGGUUAAUAACCUUGGCGAUUGACGUUACCCGCAGAAGAAGCACCGGCUAACUCCGUGCCAGCAGCCGCGGUAAUACGGAGGGUGCAAGCGUUAAUCGGAAUUACUGGGCGUAAAGCGCACGCAGGCGGUCUGUCAAGUCGGAUGUGAAAUCCCCGGGCUCAACCUGGGAACUGCAUUCGAAACUGGCAGGCUAGAGUCUUGUAGAGGGGGGUAGAAUUCCAGGUGUAGCGGUGAAAUGCGUAGAGAUCUGGAGGAAUACCGGUGGCGAAGGCGGCCCCCUGGACAAAGACUGACGCUCAGGUGCGAAAGCGUGGGGAGCAAACAGGAUUAGAUACCCUGGUAGUCCACGCCGUAAACGAUGUCGAUUUGGAGGUUGUGCCCUUGAGGCGUGGCUUCCGGAGCUAACGCGUUAAAUCGACCGCCUGGGGAGUACGGCCGCAAGGUUAAAACUCAAAUGAAUUGACGGGGGCCCGCACAAGCGGUGGAGCAUGUGGUUUAAUUCGAUGCAACGCGAAGAACCUUACCUGGUCUUGACAUCCACAGAACUUAGCAGAGAUGCUUUGGUGCCUUCGGGAACUGUGAGACAGGUGCUGCAUGGCUGUCGUCAGCUCGUGUUGUGAAAUGUUGGGUUAAGUCCCGCAACGAGCGCAACCCUUAUCCUUUGUUGCCAGCGGUUAGGCCGGGAACUCAAAGGAGACUGCCAGUGAUAAACUGGAGGAAGGUGGGGAUGACGUCAAGUCAUCAUGGCCCUUACGACCAGGGCUACACACGUGCUACAAUGGCAUAUACAAAGAGAAGCGACCUCGCGAGAGCAAGCGGACCUCAUAAAGUAUGUCGUAGUCCGGAUUGGAGUCUGCAACUCGACUCCAUGAAGUCGGAAUCGCUAGUAAUCGUAGAUCAGAAUGCUACGGUGAAUACGUUCCCGGGCCUUGUACACACCGCCCGUCACACCAUGGGAGUGGGUUGCAAAAGAAGUAGGUAGCUUAACCUUCGGGAGGGCGCUUACCACUUUGUGAUUCAUGACUGGGGUGAA